rnacentral:rRNA from 1 species
UACGGGGGGGGUAAGCGUUGUUCGGAAUUACUGGGCGUAAAGGGCUCGUAGGCGGCCUGCUAAGUCGGAUGUGAAAUCCCCUCGGCUCAACCGAGGAACUGCAUCCGAUACUGGCGGGCUUGAAUCCGGGAGAGGGAUGUGGAAUUCCAGGUGUAGCGGUGAAAUGCGUAGAUAUCUGGAGGAACACCGGUGGCGAAGGCGGCAUCCUGGACCGGUAUUGACGCUGAGGCGCGAAAGCUAGGGGAGCAAACGGG